rnacentral:lncRNA from 1 species
UGAUACUUGAAAUCAGGGUUACCAAAUCACAAGAUGGUUCCACUCUUAGUCAACAACAUUACAUAGAUAAGCUACUAUCUUUAGUUUUAGAAUAUAAUCACAAUUCAGUGAGCACACCCUUUGACUCUAACUUCAUCUUAAGAAAAACCUAGGAUUGGCUAUUGAGCAAGCUAAAUAUGAUAAGAUUAUUGGAACUCUUAUGUUUCUCACUAACUGUACAAGACCAGAUGUAUCUUUUGCUGUCAACAGACCUAGCAGGUACACCAGUAACCCUAGUGAAGAACACUGGAGGGCUCUGACUCAGGUCCUAAGAUACCUAAAAGGUACUGCAAAUUGGAGCUUGAGAUACACUAGACAUCCAUCUGUACUGGAAGGGUAUUGUGAUGCCAACUGGGUGACCAGCAAAGACGAUGUAAACUCAACUAGUGAAUUUGUCUUCACCUUGGGAGGAGCUGCAGUUGCCUGGAAGUCCACAAAACAAACCUACAUAGCAAAGUCCACCAUGAAAUCAGAAUUCAUAGCUCUUAAUAUAGCUAGUCAAGAAGCAGAAUGGCUUAGAUGUCUUCUUUCUGAAUUUCCAUAUUGGGAAAAGCCAUCUCCAUCAGUCUCAAUGCUGUGUGACUCACAGGUAGUCAUCCAUGUAGCCAACAGUUCAGUCUACAAUGGAAAGAAAAGGCACUUGAGGAUUCGACAUGAAUUUGUUAGAAAUCUGCUGGAGAAUGAAGUAAUCUCUCUAAACUACAUAAAGUCUGAGAGGAACCUAGCAGAUCCCUUAACCAAUGAUUGUGAAGAAAAAUGGUACUAGAAAGUGCUAAAGAAAUGGGAUUUUGGUCCCAGAGUUGAUGAAUUCAAGAUGGAUACCUGAGCUUAUACUGAGCAAAAUGGUCAAACGAAAUCUUAGAAAGAAUCAAGUUGAAAUGAAUUCCUGAGAAGAAGUGAUAAUCGAGCACUCUUCUGAAUUCAUAAAAUUGGAAAGAUCUAAACUGAGGAUUCCUGAGAAGAAGUGAAAUAAGCACUCUUCUGCAUCCUUGAAGCUGAAUAGUCAGAGUCCAAAAGAAGGGAUGACUACAUGAACUUAGUGACAUAAUACAAAUCAUAAAUCUGCAGGUUGGUCGUUGAGUGAUCUGGUGAUCUGCAGAACCCCGAUCAUAGAAAUUAAUGGAGUCUAUGACUCCUUGAGGAACAUAAGCUGCAAAUUACAUUUUUGUUGGAAACAACUUCAGACUGAGAGUCAAUGGUUCAAGGCUAAGUCCACCACUCUCAUUUGCUCUGAAGAUUUCUUGCAUUACAGGAUAAGUUCAAGUCAUUCUGAAACUUAACUGCUACGUGUAAAUUGCGUAUAGAACAUUGAGGGACAGAACUGCACUUGUGGGGGAUUGUUGGAAGAAUUGCAGUUCAAUCGUCAAAACGUUGUGUUUUAUUUAAUUGCUUUUCCCAAUGGUUAGUUGUCGAUAUCUGGGAAAAACUACGUUGAGUUAGUUCCUGGAAUCAAGGGCCUCGAUCCUUCUCUUUGUUGCUUUCUGUUCCAUGAUGAUGAUGAUCAGGAGAAGAUCUUGGUUGUUUGCUGAACGAUCUACUGCCUAUAAAAGGCAAUCCAUUUCACUACAGAAGCAUUCAAUCGAAUACCAAUCUCUUCUCCCUUUUUGAAUCCACUGUUCUUAGUUUAAGUUCCAACUUGCAACCUACAUCAUCAUAGGUUGUAAGCAUACUGUGAUUAACCUUCAGUUGCUUUGAUGUAUUGCUAUUUCGGAGAAUUUUACUUCAAAAGCAGUGCUUACACAUGAUCACAAUUUGAGUUGCUUUUUCGAGUUAUUUUGCUGGUUUAUUGUUCUGAUUGAUAAUUCAUUGUUCGAUGUGAUCUUUGUGAUUUAGUGGUUGUAGAUUGUAAUAGUUUCUAACAGCAACGACAUGCCCAAAGUCCAAUUUGAAAGCAAGUUUUUGUUUCUCUAUUUUUCCAAAGUGAAAACAGAGCAGACCCAGAUAGCAGUGAUGAAUUGAGUUGUGUACCGUGCAACCAAGGUAAGCAGAGACGACAGUAAAAAAAGCAGAAGGAAGAACUGAAACCCACCCAACACUUGUGUAGUUGUGUUUGCAGAGAAGAGAAAGCAAAAAGGAGAAGAUGGAAACCGUAGCCCCCCUCCUCCUCUCCAUUGAUGACAUUAUUAUUAUAUUAUUAUAGUUAUUAUAGCUGCAGCAACUCCACCACCAAAAUUCUGGCCAAUUAGCCCCCAUACUCUGCAACUUAGCACAGCUAAAAGACAAACAACGUAUGUAUUAGCAACAGUGUAAUAAAUUUGGUGAGAGCUCAGUCUCACCAAAUCCCCAUUUAAUGUUAUCAUCAUAUGUGUUUAUUUUCCCUUGUGUCUAAAGGGAAGUUGUGAAGUUGCAAUGCCAACCUAACUACAUUGACUAAUAAUAAGCUAAGUCUGUGUCUUUCUCGUAAGUCAUCACUUGGAAUUUCACAGGCAGCCUUUACAGCAAGUUUUCCUGUUGACUCAACAAAGUAAGCCUUCAGGUUGACUCAACAAUUGUUAUCUCCAUUCUCCACAAUCCUCACUCAGGAGAUGUUGGGCAUCAUGCCUGUACGGAGGAACUUGGACACCUUUAUGACGGAAAAUUGAAAUUAAGAAUGUGGUGGCAGAUGUUUGAGCCAAAAUCGAGCUGCGUAAUGACUUGGUGACCAGCUGCAACCAGACGGUGGCUUUCACCGGAGGAAUUCACAGUAGCGGAUCUGGAAUCUUGUAUCUGUAGUAUUGAUCCACUUGAUUUAAAAAUUAAACCCAAAACCCUAUAUCUUUAUUAUUGAUCAGUACUGGGCCUCGGGCCUUAUACUUUAAAUCUUUUACUAGGUGAAAACAACAUUUCAUUCAAAAGAAACAGAGCACAACCCACACCGAGAAUCAUGAACAGAACGAAGUAUAACCUGUUAAUCAGCGAUUAUCAAAUCGCCCAAUGACGAACAGAUAGCGACGCGCUCGGGAGUACACCCUAAAUGUGCAGCCAGCUCGGAAAGCCCAAUCCUUCCUACGAGCAAAACCUUUAUUCGAUGAAAUCAUAUUACUAACAAAUAAAAAUUGACCUUUCAGUCAAGAGUAUUUGAUCAUUACCUUUAACAUCCGGCUGACCGAUGCCUUUCAAUAUAACCCUUUAAUGGAAGAGUUUCAUUCUUCUUGAUAAUUAUGGCUGGAAACGUGAAGGCGAAAAAAACAGAGAGGUAGAGAGUUGCAUUUUGUUUAAUUUAGGAGAGAGAUACUAAGUUGAGAAGAGAUAAGAAAGAUAGAGAGAAUCAGAACUUUCAGUGUUGAUCAAUCUGAUGGAGAUGCAAUCAGAUUUUAAUUCGGUGAAAAUUAAUUUAUUAUUUAAUUAGUUUA